GGCCUGCCCACUGAUUUAAGUUAAAGGGCCGCGGUAUUUUGACCGUGCGAAGGUAGCAUAAUCAUUAGUCUUUUAAUUGGAGGCUUGUAUGAAUGGUUGGACAAAAAGCAAACUGUCUCAAUUGUAUUAAUUGAAUUUAACUUUUAAGUGAAAAGGCUUAAAUAAACUGGGGGGACGAUAAGACCCUAUAAAGCUUUACAAUUAUUUAAUUAGAUUAUAAAUUGUUAGUAUAACUUAAUUUAAUUGAUAUUUGUUUCGUUGGGGCGACGAGAAUAUAAUUUUAAGUAACUGUUCUUUUAUGGUUAAUUACAGAUUUAUUUGGGUAAAAAUUGAUCCUUUAUUAGAGAUUAAAAGAUUAAGUUACUUUAGGGAUAACAGCGUAAUCUUCUUUGAGAGUUCAUAUCGACAAGAGGGGUUGCGACCUCGAUGUUGAAUUAAAGUAUCCUUGUGGUGUAGCAGUUACAGAG
rnacentral:rRNA from 1 species